rnacentral:lncRNA from 1 species
GGCUGCCUCCCUAAUCAUCAUACUGAAAUGUAGUUGUCACUGUAACAGUAGCCACUGUGCCUUAUGACCACUGUGUGCUCAAUGCCCCACAUAGCACCCAACACACACUGGGUCUACACCAACGUGGCCAGACUGAAAAAAGAGGGGAUAGAUGAGGCUCAGGGUCAGUGAUGGAUAAUUUACUGAAGUCAUAGGAAGACAAAUGUAAUAAGGUAGAAAUAAAGUCAGACCCUCUGUCAGUCUCCAUCCAGGAGGGCUUGAAAGGGCCCAGCAGCUGCCCAGUGACAACUGUCAUCGCUCACCCAGUGAUCUGUUAAUCAGGGCAGGUAGCAACAUCCCUGUUCCUACCCACUAGAUGUCAGUAGCAACCUCCAAUCCUUCCAGUUGUGACAACAGAAAUGCCAGGAGAUGUCAAAUAUUCCCCACAGGACAGCAGUGCCCCACUGAGAUCCACGGAGUUACAGUGACUUCAUUGCACAGCUGUUCCAUCAGGUCCCAGAUACUACCCCAUGACAGGACCUGGGAGAGCAAAAGCAAAGCCUUGGAAUCCCUGUGAGUUAUCCAGCUUCCAAGUGUAACUGGCUUGACCCACGCUACCAUCUCGUCAGCAAGAACGCACGCAGGACACUCGGAUCCGUCUGCAGUAAAGCUUUAAUGAAUCUCAAGAGAUAGAUGAUCAGCUUCAGGAGAGGAGACCCAGAGAGCAGAAAACCCUUCCCUUAUAUAGGCUGCGAAGUAAGUUUGGAGACGUGCACUAGCCGGAUUGGCUGCCCACCAUCAGCCAGAUGACGCCAUGGGAGAGGCAGGGCUCAGGUAAUGGAAAGAUACCCUGACGCCUGCGCACACUACUUGUUUUUCACCACGAGCAACAGAUGUCAGCGCCAUUUUGUAAUGGCGACCGUGAGGGCGGCUCCUCACACUGGCUAGUUUUGUGUCAACUUGACACAGCUGGAGUUAUCACAGAAAAAGGAGCUUCAGUUGAGGAAAUGCCUCCACGAGAUCCAGCUGUGGGGUAUUUUCUCAAUUAGUGAUCAAGGGGGAAAGGCUCCUUGUGGGCGGGACCAUCGCUGGG